UUCCGUAGGUGAACCUGCGGAAGGAUCAUUAACACGAAUAUCCAUUUCACACUUAAAUGUAAUUGAUCGUGCCAGCGAUAUACCAGGGGCAACUUGACUGGCAUAGGUUGUCCUUCGGAUCAUAGAGUCCGUAAAUUUCUUUUCACAAUUAAGAGUUGAUAAUUUAUAAUUCAUAAAUCACAACUUUUAGCGGUGGAUGUCUCGGCUCACGAAUCGAUGAAGGACGCAGCAAAAUGCGAUAAGCACUGCGACUGGCAGAAUUUCGAGAAUCAAUAGAAUGCUGAACGCAUCCUGCACUUUAAACCUUUGGUUUGAAGUAUGUUUGCUUCAGGGCGUUUAAACAAUUAUGCAAUCAAAUUUAAGAUGCAAAUCUUGUUUGAUUAGCGUUUGUGUGUGUUAGCGUCUCAGUGCCUUGUGCGCCGGUAACACAUUAAAUCAAGUAGUUGCGACAACUUUCAACUGAUGCUCAGUGCAGAAUUUUAUUCUAAACAAGCGUCACUUGACAAAACGUCAUUUUGUCAACUAAAUCAUUAUACUCGGGGUAAUUUACUUACCUUAACAUUACGCAUGAAGUCAAACAGGGCUACCCGCUGAAUUUAAGCAUAUCAAUA
rnacentral:rRNA from 1 species